rnacentral:rRNA from 1 species
CCUGGUAGUGGGGGACAACGUCUCGAAAGGGACGCUAAUACCGCAUACGUCCUACGGGAGAAAGCAGGGGACCUUCGGGCCUUGCGCUAUCAGAUGAGCCUAGGUCGGAUUAGCUAGUUGGUGAGGUAAUGGCUCACCAAGGCGACGAUCCGUAACUGGUCUGAGAGGAUGAUCAGUCACACUGGAACUGAGACACGGUCCAGACUCCUACGGGAGGCAGCAGUGGGGAAUAUUGGACAAUGGGCGAAAGCCUGAUCCAGCCAUGCCGCGUGUGUGAAGAAGGUCUUCGGAUUGUAAAGCACUUUAAGUUGGGAGGAAGGGCAUUAACCUAAUACGUUAGUGUUUUGACGUUACCGACAGAAUAAGCACCGGCUAACUCUGUGCCAGCAGCCGCGGUAAUACAGAGGGUGCAAGCGUUAAUCGGAAUUACUGGGCGUAAAGCGCGCGUAGGUGGUUCGUUAAGUUGGAUGUGAAAGCCCCGGGCUCAACCUGGGAACUGCAUUCAAAACUGACGAGCUAGAGUAUGGUAGAGGGUGGUGGAAUUUCCUGUGUAGCGGUGAAAUGCGUAGAUAUAGGAAGGAACACCAGUGGCGAAGGCGACCACCUGGACUGAUACUGACACUGAGGUGCGAAAGCGUGGGGAGCAAACAGGAUUAGAUACCCUGGUAGUCCACGCCGUAAACGAUGUCAACUAGCCGUUGGGAGCCUUGAGCUCUUAGUGGCGCAGCUAACGCAUUAAAGUUGACCGCCUGGGGAGUACGGCCGCAAGGUUAAAACUCAAAUGAAUUGACGGGGGCCCGCACAAGCGGUGGAGCAUGUGGUUUAAUUC